UGCAAGUCGAGCGGAUUGAUGGGAGCUUGCUCCCUGAUAUCAGCGGCGGACGGGUGAGUAACACGUGGGUAACCUGCCUGUAAGACUGGGAUAACUCCGGGAAACCGGGGCUAAUACCGGAUAACUCAUUUCCUCGCAUGAGGAAAUGUUGAAAGGUGGCUUUUAGCUACCACUUACAGAUGGACCCGCGGCGCAUUAGCUAGUUGGUGAGGUAACGGCUCACCAAGGCAACAAUGCGUAGCCAACCUGAAAGGGUGAUCGGCCACACUGGGACUGAAACACGGCCCAAACUCCUACGGGAGGCAGCAGUAGGGAAUCUUCCGCAAUGGACAAAAGUCUGACGGAGCAACGCCGCGUGAGUGAUGAAGGUUUUCGGAUCGUAAAGCUCUGUUGUUAGGGAAAAACAAGUGCCGUUCAAAUAGGGCGGCACCUUGACGGUACCUAACCAGAAAGCCACGGCUAACUACGUGCCAGCAGCCGCGGUAAUACGUAGGUGGCAAGCGUUGUCCGGAAUUAUUGGGCGUAAAGCGCGCGCAGGUGGUUCCUUAAGUCUGAUGUGAAAGCCCACGGCUCAACCGUGAAGGGUCAUUGGAAACUGGGGAACUUGAGUGCAGAAAAGGAAAGUGGAAUUCCAAGUGUAGCGGUGAAAUGCGUAGAUAUUUGGAGGAACACCAGUGGCGAAGGCGACUUUCUGGUCUGUAACUGACACUGAGGCGCGAAGCGUGGGGAGCAAACAGAAUUAGAUACCCUGUUAGUCCACGCCGUAAACGAUGAGUGCUAAGUGUUAGGGGGUUUCCGCCCCUUAGUGCUGCAGCUAACGCAUUAAGCACUCGGCCUGGGGAGUACGGUCGCAAGACUGAAACUCAAAGGAAUUGACGGGGGCCCGCACAAGCGGUGGAGCAUGUGUUUAAUUCGAAGCAACGCGAAGACCUUACCAGGUCUGACAUCCUCUGACAACCCUAG
rnacentral:rRNA from 2 species